CCUUUGCCGGCGACCGGCGCACGGGUGAGUAACACGUAUGCAACCUGCCCUCUUCAGGGGGACAACCUUCCGAAAGGGAGGCUAAUCCCGCGUAUAUCGGUUUCGGGCAUCCGAGAUCGAGGAAAGAUUCACCGGAAGAGGAUGGGCAUGCGGCGCAUUAGCUAGACGGCGGGGUAACGGCCCACCGUGGCGACGAUGCGUAGGGGUUCUGAGAGGAAGGUCCCCCACACUGGUACUGAGACACGGACCAGACUCCUACGGAAGGCAGCAG
rnacentral:rRNA from 1 species